rnacentral:rRNA from 1 species
GAUGAACGCUGGCGGCGUGCCUAAUACAUGCAAGUCGAGCGAACGGACGAGAAGCUUGCUUCUCUGAUGUUAGCGGCGGACGGGUGAGUAACACGUGGAUAACCUACCUAUAAGACUGGGAUAACUUCGGGAAACCGGAGCUAAUACCGGAUGAUAUUUUGAACCGCAUGGUUCAAAAGUGAAAGACGGUCUUGCUGUCACUUAUAGAUGGAUCCGCGCUGCAUUAGCUAGUUGGUAAGGUAACGGCUUACCAAGGCAACGAUGCAUAGCCGACCUGAGAGGAGGAACGGCAACACGGGAAAGGAGACAGGGUCCAGACGCCGAGGGGAGGCAGCAGUGGGGAAUCGCCGGAAAGGGGAGAAAGCCGGAGGAAGCAAGGCCGGGGGGGGGAAGAAGGUCUUGGGAGCGAAAAACUGGUUAAUGGGGGAGAAACAGAAGGAAAAGAAAAGGUGCACAUCGGGAAGUUACAAAAAAAAAAAGCAACGACAAACUACGUG